ensembl:lncRNA
CUGGACAGAAUUGCAAAAGAUACCUGUUGUUAAGCAUGAUGUUUUAGGUGCAAAUUCUCCUUUACGUUAUAGUAAGAUGGGAUGGCUACCACAAAUAGAAGUACAUACCAUUAAUAUGGGUUUAUCCCAUACUCAUGUUAUGGAAAAGAGAUUGUAAGACUCUUUAUGCAAUCCAGACAUCUCAAUUUCCAUCUAUAACACACAGUGAUAAUGAUUAUGUUGAAAAAUUGUUUUAAGCCUUUACUGAUAGCUGUGAAAGUAGAGUUUGUGAUAAUAUACUGCUCAGUAAAGUGCUUUUGUGUGCAGAACUGUGGGUAAGUCAUGUUUUGCAGUGUCCCAUCGAACUGCUUUUAACCUCCAGUUGUAAAUCCAAAUAACAGUGUCUGGCUGGGAGACUGGGGAAUGCAGUUUGUCCAGUUCUGCUGUCAUAUAAGCUCCAUAUUCAGCACAGAUUCAGCUGCAUUAUCAGUGCCUCCUCUCUGCUGUUGACAAUGAAGUGCUGCACAGUCAGGAAAAAGAAUGUCAAGAGCUUUUUUGGCCAUCUUGUUGAGAUGAUGUUCAGCCAGAAAAUAGAGGACAAAAAGACUACUCAAGGCCAUUGAAAACAUAAAAAUCGGGAAAAAAAAAUUAAAUUAGUUGACAAGAGCUGAAGAAGUUUCUGACGAGAAGAUUUAGGUAUCCUCUGAAUGUCUCGUGUAAAAGCAGCGAGGACUAUUGGAAAACCUACCAAGAUAUUUAUGGAGGUUUGUAUAGGAAUUCUCAAAUCUGGGAGAUAAUGACUCAUAUUUAUUUCAACAAAUAUUUUAUUUAUAGAUAGUUUAUAAUUGCAGACUGAGGUUACCAAAGAAAAGGAAUAGGAGGAAAAUGCAGACACUCCUUGCUUUAACAUGAAGAGAAUAAAUGAGUCUUAGUACUGCUCAAUAACAAGAUUAGGACCUAGUGUUCCCUCAAACCCAUCAAUAUUCCAGAACCUUGCCACUUUAUCUACUUUCAAAUUAAACCCAGUAAUGAUUUCUCUAUGAUAACUCUGGUGAUAAAACUGCAGAACUAUAUAUUUAAAUGAAAACAUAAGGUUUUGGUGAAGGCUCUGCUCCAGCAUUUGAAUAAUAAUGAAGUACUUCCCUUUGCAGGGCUCAGUCAUUAGCACAUUCCACUGAGUUUAGGAGAAAGCAAUGCCCUCGUCUGGGCAUGUCCAAGGAAUAUAAGAAUUUCCAAAGCAGAAGGAGAAAGCCAGUAGUUCCGGGGAAGGAAAUUUGAAACUACCUCUUAUUGGAAGCUAUCAAUAAAAAAUGCUUGAAGAAUAGAAGAUGAAGCUGAAGCCACAUUUAAUCAACGCCCCCUCCCCCCCACCCCUAAAAAAAAAAAAAAAAAAGUUGGGGGCUUAAAAAGGAGCAGAAGCUGGCAAAUUCAGACUUCUGUGAGGCAAGUUAAGGACAUAGGAUUUGCAUAGAAUGAGACUGACAAGGCCAUGAAGCAUCUAAUCAGCUUGUCAGCUGCAUCCUGCAGGGUAAGAGAAACCUUUGGAGCUUAUCUAAGCUGUAGAUAUGUGCGUGCUUCUGUUUUCACUUCCACUCAUCUGUUUCUAAAGCUUCUGCAAAUUUGUUAUUUGUAUUUGGUAAAUACAUUAUUCAUUUUUCUUUCAUCUUAACCUAGCCUUUGCUAAAGGUGGUCUUAGUAUAAUUGGAAAAUUCAAAGGCAUUUCAUUCCUCGGAGUGGAAAUCCUUAAAACUAGAGUAAUAGACUGACUCAGGAUAUCCAGCAUUCAGAUGAUAUUUCAGAGAUUACUUAGAGUAUAAGAGAGUGCAUCUCUGUACAGAAAAGAGUAGGUAAUUCAGCUGUUGAUGCACAAGAAAUGUUUUUGAGGACUAGUGUUAUUUUGUAAAGCUUGUCAGCUCACAGUACAACAGCGGUCAGAAUGCCUUAACCAUGUGGAAUCAAAGGAAGUAUGAAACAAAAUUAAUUCAGGAAAUGUAAUGUCAGUUACAAGGCCAAGUCUUCCAUAUAUAUGAAAGCACCAAGCAAAAAGGUUGAGUGCAUCACACCAUACUCACAGCACCUUUGUGGCUCUCUCUUUUCAGUUGCUACGACAAAAGAUUUUCUCCAAAAUAUACAGGAUGCCAUGGAGACUGACUGAAAAAAAGCUCUUAAUCCCUGCUUUGCUGGUGCUGACAGGAGAAUAGAUCUCUAGACACAUAGCAUAUUUGGAAUUGCUAAUCAGACAAGGAAGGGAAAUUCUCCUUAACAAGUGUCAGGCCCAGUGGAGCUUCUGCCGUGCAUGAUCCAAACUAACUCCAGGAAGAGCAGCUGUCCUUGCUCUCUUCCUGUAGGGAUGAGGAGGCUCCUGUGCUGGGGCCAGCCCUGGUAAGAAAAAGGGAGGAUGUUGCUGGCGUCCUAAGUAGCGGUCUCAUCAAUGCUACAGUGCACUCAGCAGGACCCAAACUGAUGUCUGAUGAUGUCUGUGCUUUGUCGGUGUCCUAAAUGACUCAGGGGACACUGAACUAUUGUGUCACUCAAGCUUGUUCAUAAUUUAGGAUAACUUGGUUCCUACAAUCACAGCAAUAGAGACACAAUUGAAUUAAUCUAUUUAUGCUGCAUAACUUGGCACCUCUGAAACUGUUGCUGAAUGAUUUCGUAUUCCUUGUAGAGAUCCAAUAAAAUCUGUAGAAAAGAGCAAUAAACACUAGCAACAGAUCAUUUCAGUUUUAGUGCAGUAUAUUUCUUUGUGACUGUAAGAAGGAUAACGUGCAUGAAAAAAAUAAAUGACCCUUCUCCUUGACUGCGAAGUGUUGCUGAUUUUUCUUACUGUCCUUCUAAGUAAGAAACUUCAGUUUCUCUUUCAGGAGGGCUAAAUUGAUGGUAAUGUUGACAGACAAAAAGAAAAUCAAUUACAUUUUCAAUGCAGAUAUUAAUUUAGAGGUGGUCUGUGGACUAAUGUUACAAGAAAUUUUACUUUAAAAUUACAUUAUGACUGACUAACAUUAAUCUGUUUCAUUUGUAAGGUAUGCAUACUAAAUAACUGAUAUAAAUAGUUGCUCCUAUUGAAAAAACACUCAACUACCAAUAAAAUUCAAGUAUAAAACCGAUGAGACAGCUUUUUAGGCACCACCCCAAUUACUCCAGGAGUUCACAAAGCAACAUCUGCAGUCAUUAAAUAGUAUCUAUUUACUGUAGAAUUUACUGAUUAGAGCAAUUAAUCUCUUAAAACAUUUGCUUUGACUCCCUUAGAGCACACAUCUCUCUCAGGCUAUUGAAGCAUUUCUCUGGCUGCAUAUUCUAAGUCAAGAAGAUACCCACUGAUUCAGUAGACUUUGGAUUAGUUCCUUGGCUGUUGUUCAAUACAGCAUGGAAAACUUUUCCCUAUCUGUCAUGUGCUAAGUAUGGAAUACGAUCACACAAUCUCUAUGCAGUGUUCAUACUGCUUCUUACAUCUUGAUAGAAUCCAGAGUAACAGACAGCUCAGCUGUGCUACAUAAUGGAAAAGAAUGAAUAAAACAAGUAGAUCAGGGUCUGUACAAUAUAAUGCAGAAGUACCAUUGCAAGGAGCCAGCCAAUGUUACAAAUCCUGUUUCAGUGCUGGGCUUGCAAGACUCAGGCUAUUCUCCAGAAUUCUUGAUUGUGAACUUUAACUCAUGCACAGAUAAAACUUGGAUCCAUUGAGCCUAUUACUCAAAGCUCUGUGGGAAAGUAGGUGUACAUCUGGGUCUGUUCCAGCCCUGGAAGCAGUACAGCUGUAUUAACAAUGUGCUUCGUGUAUCACUAAAUGCCCUGCUGGACUUGAUGUUUUGUAUCCCUAGCACGGAUGAUCAACAGAGCACAUUACCUGCUUAAGGAUAAAUGAGAGUUGGCUGCAUUUGCCAAAUGUGAAUCAGUGUUUCUGUUAGAUGUAGUGUGUAAACUUGAAGUUAUAUACAGUUCUUUUAGACCACCAGUUCCAUAGGAUUCUUAUUAUCUUUUUGAUUGUUAAUAAUAAUAAAAAAAAGAAUGUUGGCAAGAAAAACAACUGUAGGCUAAUCACAUAUCAAAAAAUGUUAUUAAAAAUAAAAUUAUAUCUCAAAGUUUUUAAUAGGUUUUUGCUGUAAUAUAAUUACAUACUAAAAACAAAUUGAAAAUUGGUAUUUUAUCACAGAAUCAUAGAAUAUCUUGGGUUGGAAAGAACCUUAAAGUCUACCUAGUUCCAACCUCUGCUUUGGGCAUGGCUGCCACCCCCCAGCUCAGCUGCCCAGGCCCCAUCUAACUUGGUUUCCAAUACCUCCAGGGAUGGGGCACUCACAAUUUCUCUGGGCAGUUGUGCCAGUGCCUCACCACCCUCUGAGAAAAAAGAAAUCCUGAUGUGUAAUCUAAAUCUCCUACCUUUUAGUUUGAAAACAUUACCCCAAGUGAUGAUUAAAGUAUUGUAUUAAAUGCUUCCUUACAUUGCUAUAAGAGGGCCUGAACCUUGGAGAUUAAAUGGAAGAAAAAGAAAAAGCCAGUGUAAGAUGUAGUAAGUAAGAAUAAGAGUAAAUAUUUGAAAUGUAUUGGAGCAGGUCCGGAGGAGGACCAUGAAGAUGAUCAGAGGGCUGGAACAUCUCCCACAUGAGGACAGCCUGAGAGAGCUGGGGUGCUUCAGUAUGGAGAAGGCUCUGAGGAGACCUUAUAGUGGCCUUCCAGUACCUGAAGUAUGCCUACAGGAAAGCUGGGGAGGGACUUUUUGUAAGAGCUACAGGAUGAGGGGAAAUGGUUUUAAACUGAAAGAGGGUAGAUUUAGAUUAGAUAUUAUGAAGAAAUUCUUAACUGUGAGGGUGGUGAGACACUGGAACAGGUUGCCCAGUGAGGUUGUGAAUGACCCUUCCCUGGACGCAUUCAAGGCCAGGCUGGAUGGGGCUGUGAACAACCUGGUGUAGAGGGACAUAUCCCUGCCUACAGCAGGGGGAUUGGAACUAGGUGAUCUUAAAGGUCCCUUCCAACCCAAACCAUUCUAUGAUUCUAUUCUAUGAAAUUAAUUAGUUAAUAAUAAUAGUUCUGUAUUGUAAUUGAAAGCCUUAAAAAAAAGUAUAUUCUUACAUAUGAUCAAAGUAUAUCACAAAGAAACAGAAAAAAAAAAAAAGCUAAAGAAAGGUCAAUGUCAGUUGAAGUUAUUCAGGACAGUAUAUCAGUGGAUAUAUAUAUCAUGGAUCCAUUUAAUCAUGUUGAUCUGUUGAACUGCAGGUAUGCAGAUUCAAAUAAGAUAAUUCUGAGAUUCAGAAUUAUAUUUACAGUUCAUUUUAAAAUGCUGGCCCAAGGAAAAUUAUUGUUGUCUGGCAAAGUAUCUCUUAGUCUGUUAUUCUGCUUUGUACAAAUGUAUUUAAAACAAAUGUAUGUAUGUCGAAGGACAUUUGAAAGACAGGGAUUUUUAGUAGAAAUUUUGUGUGAGUCUUCUGAAUCUACUCAGAAAUUUAAAAUAUCAGGAGCCUUACAGGAUUUACCUUCCCAAGGAUUGACAAACAGGCUGAUUCGGUAAGAUGAAACAGUAAUUAAGUACUUUCAUAUAUUCAGUUCCAGACGGGUUAGUAACACAUUCCAAGCUGAUAUGAAUGGCACAAUUUGUCCUCUGGAAUUGCAUCUUUCUCUCCACUAAGAAUGAAGUGAAGGCCAGAGAGGUGAAGCUCCAUUCCUAUAACCAGGCUUGCACAUCUUUACACUCUGUAAGUCUGGCUCAGCUACAGAUACUUAUGCACACGAAUAACCUUUUCACAUCAAUAUCCUCCUGAAGACCACAGAGUAACAGUUAACUGAAGAAAAGAAUGUGUAUACAUCUCUAGGGUCAUACCUCAUUCUGUGUCUCUAUUUUUGAAUAUGUUUCCAAUUCAGAGGUUACUGUUAAAAAUUCUUGCACAUCAUAAGGCUUAUGUUCAGGAAAGAGGGUGUCAUCAAUGACUGUGUAUCUCAGGGCAUUAUGUCCUUUCUAAGGAAACAGAAAACUGUGGUGAGUAGCAGCGAAGAAAUUGUCUAGUAUAAAACUGAAACUGAAAUUUAUUUUCAAAGUGGAGAAAAGGGGGUGCCAAGAAGGAACACUUGCCUGAUCCAAACACACUGGCAUCUACUUUGGUGUUUUUAGUUCAGACUGUGAAUCCAAAAUAUAAUCCUGUUUUCAUUGACAGUGAAGAUCUUAACCAGCAUAGAUAUUGGCUUGGAUUGCCCAACCAAAAUCCCAGGAGUUGCUCAUUAAUUCAGCAAGCCACAUUUCCUGUAAGAGAGAAUUACCUGAAGAUAGAUUGACAAUGGUGAUCUGUUUCAGUCUCUUUCAUUACUAGAUGCUUUAGCUAUUGUUUUUCCCUGGGACAAUAGUUUUUAUUACUGCUUAUCCAUAUUUCCAGAAAUAUAGCAAAUCAUGUGCAUCUUGAAAUAAAAUGGAAGCAUGAAAAUGAUACUAAAAAUCAUUCAAAAGUCGUUGAAAAUAAAAUAUUUGUUUGUUUCAGACUUAGAAAAUAUACAGCCAGACAAUAUAAAUUAGGUAAUUUCCUUACCUGUUUCACUCUAACCUAGACAGGUUCAACAAGUUCAGAAACACUGGUGAAAAGGCAAGAUAAGAGGUAGGUAGUCUGGGCUAGCUUGUGUAUGUAUAUUCAUGAGGUGGGAUGACUGUCAGUGAGAUAUUGGUGGGAGUACUGGGUCACUUGCCUGGGUUUUGGAAUGAAAUAUCCAAAGAAAAACCAUCUUGUGUGAUCUUGAAAAUCAAUUCAUUAACAGGAAAGCUGUGUCACAUGGAGUAGUGCAUAUUAUUUCUAUUUGUAAAUAUUUUCAAGAUGCGAAAAUGACAAAGAAGGCCACACAAAUACUGUAAAAAAAGAUAGAAAUAACAGAUCCAGUACUUAUUUAGGAAAGUAAACAAAACAAAACAAAUAAACAUUUCUUUUCUCUUUUGUUUGGUGACACUCCGGCUGCAAAAAUUAGAGUUAUGGCUCUUCUAACUUCCCAGUACAAAAGAAAUACUGUUCUUUGUUCUGUCCGAAUGCCUAGGUUUUCAUGGGUUGGGUUUUCAUGGGUUGGGUUUUCAUGACUCAUUUCUCCUUUACUGCAUCUGGGUGCUGGUACCUGGAGAAAUGAAUAAGAAUGGGUAGAACAUACCCGUCUUGGUUAUCCUGCAAAUCUGAAAGUGUUUUGAUAUUCUGGUCCACACUGAUGGCAUGAGUAGUUUUUCUCUUUUAUCUCUGUCAAGAAUUUUUAGAUUUGAGAUAUCUGCUUUACAAUUCAGGUGGAGCAUGAGAGAGAACCUGGGCUGAAGUUAAAUAUGUCACAUCCAGAACACAGCAUGAAUAAUUUUCCUCUGAUUUACAGUUUGGUGUAACUUGUUAUGAAGAUGUCAGUAGUUUGUCUUUUUCUCCUUUUAAAGUGGUGACACAGUGAAUGACCAGAACAUGCUCUCUGCAUUGAUUAGUAGUAGAAGCUUUAGCAUGACUAGCUCUAAACAGACAUUUGAAAGACGAGAGAGAAGAAUUUUUUAAAAUGGCACAGUGUGAAAAUUUCACUUGUAGGGUCUUUAUAUGGAGCAAAGAGGUUAUCCACCUAAGGACAAAUAUAAAGUGCAAUGAAAGCUCAAUUUAAAAGCAAGACACCUGCAGCUUGCAGCUCAAUAAACUCUUUUUUUUUCUUUUUUUCUUUUUUUUUUGGGGGGGGGAGGAAAAUUAAUAGUGAAAGAUUGAGACUAAUUUUCAUGUUUUUAACUUCAAUACUCAAGUAUUAUCUGUUCAUCCAAUGUUUUGCUGCAACCUGUGGUUACUGUGUCUACCAUCCACACUAGACGAUGGGAAGAGGACCUGCACAAUAGGAAAUGUUCUUGCUUAACCCCAGGCAACAGCCCUAACUGAGCAUGAUAAUUCAAAAGAAGGAUUGAUCAAAAUGGGAAACUGCAGACCUCUGGUGACAUUGCAAAUGAGGUGAAGGAAACAGCACAAUUAUUUGUGUAGAUAUGGUGGCAUGGCAUCCCCCUGGAAUUCAGGCUGAGACAGGGAGACUUGGGCAACUCCUAGAAGAGACCAGUAAAGCCAGUUGCAGAACAAACUCUGUCUUCCUUUGUAUCUCAUAUUUUUCACCUGAUUUUAAAUAUGCUUUUCUCUCCACUCCUGCUGUAACGGUAAGCAGGAAUUUAUUCUUAGUUCCUAAAACAGAAGCAGGAAAGCAGUGUUAAUAAUUACUUUUACAAAUCUGUAAUGAGAUAAAAAAAACAAGUGCCUUAACCUAGGUAGAGAAGAAUUAUUUGUGGGGCUUUAGCUUUCUUUCAAUUAAGAACAAAAAUCAGAAGGAAUUCCAGUUAGAAAAAAAUGAACUUAAAAUUUUACUACGAUUGAGAAGACUCAAUAUCACAACAGUAAUACUCAGAUUGCCCAGCCUAGUGUGAAUACAGAAACAUGGGAAUAUAGUUUAUGUCUCAGCUGGAAUCAGCUUGCUCAUAUCUAUGAUACUCAAAAUUGUAUGAACUAUAUGAACAUCACUGUUUUGCUUGAUUCCUGUAAGCACAUCAUGCAACUGAGUUCUGGUGAGGAGGAAGCAAUGCUAUUUGCCUUUAUAUUAUGUGAUUUGGGUGGGAGGGCUGUGUUGUUUCUGUUGUUGUUUUUUCUUGGCAUUUGUGUUGAUAUAAUAUAUAUUCGUCAUUUAUAAUAUGCCAGUAAAAAUCUGUUAAAGAUGCUGUCGUUGAGUUACUCAAGUACAAAAAGCUUGCAGAAAUAGUAUUCUCCAAGUUUACUGUAAUUUUCAAGAAGCUUAUAAAAUGUAUAUACAUUUGAAGGGUUAGUUGAGAAAUUUCCCACUAGUCAUUGCUGCUAUAGUUAUGUUGUAUGAACAAAAGGCAACAUGUUUACUGUCUUUGUUUUGCUUUUUCAGGCUCUGUAAUCUGCAGUGAACCAUGCACUGAAUUUCUGCCUCUGGUGAUGUAAUAUUCCUUUUAUCCAUUAUAAUAUACUCUGCAAAAGACAGAAUACAAAUAGCACAAUGAGAAACAUUUACUCAUACUUUUUACUCCAUUUUCUAAUGUAUUUCUUUUCAGGAUAGGAAAACACAGGCUACCAACUAAUGUAUUUUGUUUCUGAUCUGACAGCGAAGAGUGGUAAAGAGACGAGGAAAGGGGUACCUUGUCUGUUUAGUCAGGCAUGUCCACGCUGUGGCUUGCAGGCCACAUUUAGCCCAGCACAGCUCAUGCUGCGGCUGCCCCCUGACUCGUGCCAUCACAGGGUGGCUAUUCUCUGCCUGGCCUGGCCUUCAGCACCAACUGAUCAUCAGUGUGCUCUUAACCCCAUCUGGGCUGAAACCAGGGCACAGAGGGCAGUGCAGUACCAGCUCAGGUUAUUGAAAAUAAGUUUAUGGAUUUUGAUACACUGGCUAAACAUUAGUCCCCUGAUGACAGUGGUUAACCUCCGCUGGUGCAGAUUAUGAUGAGCACGACAUGCAGGCUUUUGUUCACCUUUGGUGAAAAUGCAUAGUUAAUGGUGGUGACUGUGUUGUUCCAUAAGAAGUUGACCUCCAAUGUCUGCUGAAUCCUCCUCCCCAUACAGCAGUAUGAGACUGAGAGGAAGAAUGCAUGGAGUGAUACCCCAGAUGCAGUGUGGGAGUGUUUGCUGAGCUACACCAGACUACACCAGAAAGAGAGGAAAAUUCUCUUUACACUGGAUAACUUAAAACUGCACUGAUUCCAAGAAACUGCAUUGACUCCAAGAACUGAUGAAGGAACUUGACAAGUAUCAUGUAAACGUCUCCUGGCACAGAGAUAUGACUUGGCCUAAGAGAUACCCUUCAUGACUGUUGUCUAAUACCAACAUGUUUUAAAUGGCACCCUUAUGUCUAGCAUUGCUUUUGGCCUUUCUCCUCCUCACAUCCUCAUAGCCUUAGCAAUGUCUAGCUGUGGGUAUUCCUCCAACCCCAUAUCAUCCACUCUUUAAAUUGAAUUGGAAGAUUUGGACGCUUUUCUUUCAUUAAAAUGUAAAACAAACAAAAGAAAAAAAUUGAAACAACAACAACAAAACAAACAAACAAACAAACAAAAAAACCAACCCACAAACAAAACCAAAACAAAACAGAACACAGGUUGAACUAUGACAGCACACACGUCAGUGCAACCCAGGCUCAGGUCUUUCUGGCAGAUACCUGGCAAGGAGUGCGCAAGUAUGACAAUGGUGCAGUGGUAUUCUGCUGUAACACCAUCCUGCCCUUGUGCUGUGCUCUGUAAGGGAUGUAGGCUUUGUGACUGCUUGGCUCAGUGCACAGACAGUGUUUCAUGAUCUUGAAAGUUUUACCAAAUUAACAAUCUUUACUGAAGCAUAGAUGUAGCGGAGCCUCAUCCAACACUAUGAAUAGGAUAAACAUGCUGGGUUACAUUCAUUUUGCACUUCAUAUUUGUAUAUAAAUCUAAAAUAACUCUGUAAAAACAUGAAAAGUAAGUUUGCACAGUGAAGGCAAAAGGAUGCACUGGUCAGGAUGCGCUCACUUUUUAGGCUUUCAGAUGAGGUAUCUUAAAUAGGAGCUUAAUUCCUCCAGGUGCUCUUCUCAAAGGAAAUACAGAUGUCUUCCACAUAAAGGAUCAGCUUUGUAUAGAAAAGGUCACUGAAGUUACUCCAAUUAUGUUUUCUAAGAAUUAUGGUUUAUCUGUCAUUUGCUACAAAUUGUCUCAUUGUCUUCCUGCCUCUGAACACCUCAACUGCUGAAUUUCUUAAAAAAAUAAAUAAAUAAAAUGAAAUUGCACCCAGAGUUAUUUUCUGGUCCUUUUAUAAAAGACUGAAUGGUAAACGCACAGGUUACAUUUCUGUGUUGUCAUCUUUUGGUCUGACUGUUACUCUCCUAUGAGAACUGAUCUCACUCUCUGGUUAAUAACUAACACUUGUAAG